CACACCCGUUCCCAUCCCGAACACGGAAGUUAAGCUCUCCAGCGCCGAUGGUAGUUGGCGGGACACCGCCUGCGAGAGUAGGACGUUGCCGGGC
rnacentral:rRNA from 5 species